AUUGAACGCUGGCGGCAGGCCUAACACAUGCAAGUCGAACGAGUGGCGGACGGGUGAGUAAUGUCUGGGAAACUGCCCGAUGGAGGGGGAUAACUACUGGAAACGGUAGCUAAUACCGCAUACCAUCGGAUGUGCCCAGAUGGGAUUAGCUAGUAGGUGGGGUAACGGCUCACCUGGGCGACGAUCCCUAGCUGGUCUGAGAGGAGGACCGGCCACACUGGAACUGAGACACGGUCCAGACUCCUACGGGAGGCAGCAGUGGGGAAUAUUGGACAAGGGGCGCAGGCCGGAUGCAGCCAUGCCGCGUGUAUGAAGAGGGCCUUCGGGUUGUAAAGUACUUUCAGCGAGGAGGCGUUACCCGCAGAAGAAGCACCGGCUAACUCCGUGCCAGCAGCCGCGGUAAUUC
rnacentral:rRNA from 1 species